UUUUAUGCCCGGUAUAAUUCGCCAUGAUAUUCUACAUUCGUACGUAAUCACUGCGCUACGUGUGCGUAAUUUUGGGUCGUUGCGAAUAAAUUGGGCACUGUUGCUUCCAGGAUUUCUCGACUUGUGCAAGAGACGUCAGGUAAGAGUUUCGCCUACUGCGCCGCGACGGUACCAGGGCCACCUGAGCUUUCGUUCGAGCGUAAAUCAGUUUUCUCUGAACGAAGUCGAGGGACAUGUACUUUUUACUGCCGUGGCUCGUUUCGUUUCUAGAAAUUAACGAAACACUAUUUGUUUUUCACCGACCUCGUCGGCGUCUAGAUAUAUAUCCACAAUCGCGUGCAAUUAAUUGAUUGCAAGAAGGGGAAAAAAAAGGAUGACAAAUAGAAAUAAAUUUUUGUAACUUAUAGUCGUCUAUAUUCUUCGCUUAAAUGUUUCACGAUCGUUGUUUUCCAUGAUCUGUGGCGAUAAGAGCGACGUAGAAAGUGGGCCUAGGUUUGUUUUUACAUAGCUUUCAAAGUUACGCAACACCAACGAAACCGAUUCCAAAUACUUCGAGUGAAAAGGCAGAUGUAAUACUCAUCGCCUGAUCAUAAAUCACAAAAGGCAUAAACUUCUGCACACACAGAUGUGAAAGUAAUUUAAAAUUGUCAAUGUUACGGUCAAAUAAUUUAAUUUAAUCAUUUAGUAGAAUAAUGUCAUUUACAAAUAUCUAAUUUGAAAACGUUUGAAACAUUUUAUCAAUGUUUUGAACUUCAUGAAAAAAAGAAAUACUUUGUAGUAGGUUGUCUCAAAAGAUUCUUUCGCUUUAUUACGAAGUAAUACGUGCACAAUAUUUUAUGUUUUAUGUUACAUUACUGAAUUGUGCACGAUUCAUUUUGCUCCAUUACUGUCACAACAUGAAUAUCUAUGAAAUUAGAUUGUCUAUUUAUAGAAACACGACCACAUAAAAUAAUUGAGUGCAACUCGCGAAAGAAACUUUCGGGACUACCUAAUACAUGUAUUUCAUUUCAUUUCUAUAACCAGUAUCAGUCACACAUCAAGAUCUCUAGUAACAGUAGGAAAUGAUAAUAAAGAAGUGUGUAUAAAUAUAAUGAAAUCGAUUAGCGCGCGACUAAAUAUUGAUCUUCCCUUGCGUCGACAAUAGUGUUCCACCGCAACAAGAGACAGCAAAAAUAUUUAAAUUAAUAGUUAAUAGUUUUCUUUAUCAUUUAUGAAAUGGAACAGUGCCAGUAGUUAACUAGAAGUCCCAUUUGCGAUGCGAGAGAAAGAAAAAACGCAAAACUGUAAUUGAUCCACAACCUUCGACUUCUUGUAAUAUUAUUUCACUCGUCGAGUUUUCCAUCGCGCUCGAUAUUUUGAUCCACGUGCCAAUGCGAGUACUUAGUUGUGCAUGCGAGUCGUUCUUACACAAUCAAUUACGUUCCUUGAAUGUUCUCGCGCGUAAUGACGCGCUCGUUCGUAGCCACUCAUUAUCGCGGCAGUUCGCGAAGAAUGGGUGACCUUAAUAGUUUCGACCAGUCUAACCACCAGCGAAUGAUCCCAAGCAAUCACGAAUAAACGCUCGCAAUUCGCGGCCUGCCAUUCAUUUGUUGGGUAAUUUUGCUAGCGACGUGCAUCGUGUAACCUUUGCAGUUGGAUCACGUGUAACGAGUGAUGGAACCGCGACGAGCGACCACAGACUUAAUCUUCUUACUUAAAUCCAAACGGUGGUGGAUAAACGAAUGAAGCGUUACUACGGUCACUAUGAAUGAAAAAGUAUAUUCAAUGGUCGGUAAUAAUUAUUCAAAAAAUAGAAAUCUAACUUGUAACUUAGAGAUACAUAUAGGAAUUAGGAAAUUAUUAAAAGUCGCGAUAAUUUUGUAGCACAAAAUUAGAAAGUUAGAGUUACGAUGAUGUAUUGUGUUUAAUGUCGUACAGUUUCUUGAGCAAUGUAUUUUAUAUUUCUUCAUCUGUUUAUGUUGUAAGGGUUACACACAGUCAUGUUAUGAUCUCUUGUUUAGAAUUCAGAAUUAUUUGUUCAGAGUUGCUGUGAAGGAUUUCCACGAAUUAGUUGUUUACAUUAUGGAUCAACAGGACUACAAGCAGUUAUAUUAUUAACACGUUGGCUGCCAAGUUAAAACUCAUGAAAAUUAUUGCAAAGUGAAAAUUAUGUCUCGAGACUAUUGAAGAUUAGGUAAGUUUGCAUUUGUCGUGGUAUAGAAUUUUUUAACGUCGCCAAAUUCACGAAUCCUAACCAGAUUUAUUUUAGUCCCUUAACGAAAAGUUCUGUCACCUGUCUAGGUGACGUGGCGACCAACGUGUUAAUUCUUCUUAUCUAAAAUUGUAAAUGGGAAUUAUCAAUGGACUAGUUACCAAACUAGUGCAUGAACAAAUAUCCAUUUGCACCUUGAAAAGUCAAUACUCUGAAGUCGAUUUAUGGAAUUAGACGAUGAUAGACUUCGCGGACACAGUAUGAAUAGCAGGUAUCGGCGAGGCAUCAACAGAACAGAAACGACGAAGGUUUGGUUGGAACGUUACUCGUAGCAACCACUCACAUCACUACUAUACAUUCUUCCGCUGAUUAGAUGAUCUAUAUCAGAAAUAUGAGGCCAUCUGUCCAUUGUUAUUUAUUUUCUAUCGACUGUAUUUAUACAUCUAUUUCUCUGGGUGUCAUUCGACGUGGACGUUGCAGAAAUGUGAAUAUUUAAGAUAUUAAUACAUAAUUUCCUUUCUCUUAAGAAACUUGACAUUUCAACUGCAUUCACUUUUCUUCCCGAGUAUUUUUAUCGGCAUACGUUACUAUCGAGGUUAAGCCUCAUAUCAAGCAUUUAACUGUUCCACGUCAACGUAAUAUAAA